rnacentral:rRNA from 1 species
UCGGAUUGCAGGCUGCAACCCGCCCUGCAUGAAGUUGGAAUCACUAGUAAUCGCGGAUCAGCAUGCCGCGGUGAAUGCGUUCUCGGGCCUUGUACACACCGCCCGUCACACCAUGAGAGUCGGGAACACCCGAAGUCCGUAGCCUAACCGCAAGGGGGGCGCGGCCGAAGGUGGGCUCGAUAAUUGGGGUGAAGUCGUAACAAGGUACC